AUACGGAGGAUCCGAGCGUUAUCCGGAUUUAUUGGGUUUAAAGGGUGCGCAGGCGGCCAUUUAAGUCAGCGGUUAAAUCGUGGGGCUCAACCCCAUUCUGCCGUUGAUACUGGGUGGCUUGAUUGCGGUCGUGGUUGGCGGAAUUCGUUGUGUAGCGGUGAACUGAAGAGAUAUGACGAAGAACACCGAUUGCGUAGUCAGCUGACCAGACCGUAAAUGACGCUCAUGGACGAAAGUGCGGGGAUCGAACAUGAUUAGAUACCUUGGUAGUCCGCACAGUAAACUAUGAAUAUUUGUUUUCGGCGAUAUAAUGUCGGAGGCAAAGCGAAAGCGAUAAGUAUUCGUCCUGGGGAGUACGCCGGCAACGGUGAAACUCAAAGGAAUUGGCGGGG
rnacentral:rRNA from 1 species